CAAAAACACUUGAAUACACAUGGGGAACUGUAGCAUGCAGCUUAGUCACCUCAGCAAACCAGAGGCCUGUGUGAAUGAGAAUAAAAGGCAUCAGUUAUCAUUGAGGGCUUGAAUUGGUUGACAUGAAAGCUACUAAUGCUAUAGUAGACACCCCUACCUUGUUGAUGUCUCUUACAUAAUUGCUGACAUAGAUAAUCCCUGCAAUCAAAAUCAGUGCAACCCUUGGACCUGAACUUUUGAUCUGUUGUGGCCUGCUACACAACAUCUGGUGAUUUCAUUUAGAGCCUUGAGAAGAUGAAAAGAUAUGAUCACCUUUUUAGGACUUACAUAACACAAAAAAUAUCACCAUUACCAAUGCACAGAUAUAAUCAUGAAUUCAGAAUAUAAAGAAGAUGAUACUUUGGAGUGCCUUGGCAGUCAAUCAGCCUAUCUGCAACAAGCUAUCUUCUGAGGACCUCCAUGUUCAUUAUCUUGACUCUUUCCAACUUCAACACUAUGUGGUAGAGGAAACAGGUAACUGAGGCACAAUGGGCCUAUCCUACCUUUUUAUUCAGGAGAGAAAAUGAAACAAGCACAUAGUGUAAAUUUUUAAAACUCCUUAUUUUCUUGAAGCCUCAAAUAAUAGGCUGUGCACACCCUGCCCAGGCAAACAAACAGUUUCACUGGUUUUAAUGCUGGUUUCCACCCCAAGUACCCCUUCUUGUCACCCGUUGACUGUGAUCUAGCAACCACCAAAGGCAUCAAUGAAAUUGUUUCAUGCAUCUGCUAGUGAAUUCCACCCUCAGCAUCAGCAAAAGGACUUAUUCAGAAAUACCCCCCCCCUUGUGUGUGUGUGUGUGUGUGUGUGUGUGUCACCUUCCCAGAUGUUCGCUUGAUCUCUCUUCCGAGAGUUCCUCCCCAGGCGUGCCGUGAUAUGCACCCUGACUCUAGGACUUGUGAGUAUAAUUGUCAUUUUCCUCUGAAUGCAAUUUCCAGAGCCAUGUGGGAAUGAUCCCUAAAGACUCCCCAAGGGAAGGGCACUGUAUGGCAAUCAAGAGGUCUAUUUGUGAUCAACUUUCUGGAAAGCAUCAGGUGGCAAUGAAAAUUUACUUCAUUUGUCUGGUCACUAAUGCAAAAAUGGAAAACAACAACUGUUUCAAGAAAAGAAAAGAUCUACCUGAGAAAUGUCCUGAGAGUAAUGAAGAAAAACAAAGGCCUCGAAGUCAGUAAACACCAGGUAAAUUUUAACUCACCGGAAGCAGGUUAUUAGGAGCUCCAUCUCACAAGAUCCCUGCAGAGAUAUAAAGGCAACAGGAACUGCUGUUGCCGGGAGAGAGGGGCCCCAGGACUGGGAGGUCCCAACCUGAGCCCCUCCAGAGCCCUCAAUCCACUAACUGGGUACAAUCCCAAGUGACCGCCUCCCCGGCUAUGGACAAUACCGAUUGGCUACAGCUUUGCGUGUCUUGGCAAACUGUCCAAUCAGGACUGCGGUUGGCUAGACAGCGUAUUCGCGGAAGGCCUAGACGUCACAGUCAUAGCCAGCCAGUGCUGCUGACAGGGUCCUAGAUUGUUAGCUCUCUGGCACUCCGUGAUGAGGAAGCCAGGUACCUCAGAAGACAGGAAACGGUGCAUAUGUGUGGCCCGUGUCCCAAGAAGGGGGCGAUGGAGCUGGCGGACCUGGACUUCACCAUGGUCAGCUCUGAAUCGGCGGACACUCGUCUGUGGCUUUCUGUGUUCCUUUACCUGCGAGGUGGAGUUAUAGAGAUGGAGAGGAGGCGAACAAGGAGGAGAGAGAAAGAGAGAGAGAGAGAGAUCUUCCAUCAGCUGGUUCACUCCCCAAAUGGAGUGUAACUAUGGAGUUGGAUCAAUCUGAAGCCAGAAGUCUCUGGGUCUCCCUCGCAGGUUCAUUAUCAGGAAACUGGAUCAGAAGUGGAGCAGCUGGGACUCAAAUCAGCAUUGCUACAUGAAAUGUCUGCAUCACAAGAAGGCAGCCUAACCCACCGCACCCAAUAACUUUUACUGUUUUAUAGCUAGUUUUGAUUCAUAAUCUCAAAUGAACAAUUAAAAAUAUGAAAUGAUUGGGUUUUUAUCAAUAGUUAGACCAGAUUUUCUUUGUGUCUCCUUCUCCUUUUAUGCACAAAAAGAAAAUUAACAUUUAAUGAUGUCUUUUGUUCUCUACUCUUUGUAUAGUUAAUAGAGUCUUUUGUUUUCAACUCUAAACUGUCU